GAGGAAAGUCCGGGCUCUAUUUAUAAACAAUUUGUUGUAUAAUAUAUAAUGUAGGAAACUAUGAGGAAAGUGCCACAGAAAUAUACCGCCUUAUUUAAGGUAAGGGUGCAAUGGUUCGUUAAGAGCGUACCAGGAAUAUUGUCAAAAUAUUUGCUAGGUAAACCCCGUUUUAGAGCAAAGUGAUUGGUGUAGAUAAAUGGAUAAUAUAUUUAUAAGCUUCAUUUAUGUAACAUUCUAUAUUAAAUAAUUUAUGAUACUGCAUCAAGUAAAAGUUUUACUUCAGAUUAAUAAUUACCCUUGCUAUAUUGUUCAUUACUUUAUGUUUAUUUGGAUCAAGAACAAAACCCGGCUUAU
rnacentral:RNase_P_RNA from 1 species